rnacentral:rRNA from 1 species
CCUACGGGAGGCAGCAGUAGGGAAUCUUCCGCAAUGGACGAAAGUCUGACGGAGCAACGCCGCGUGAGCGAUGAAGGCCUUCGGGUCGUAAAGCUCUGUUGUUAGGGAAGAACAAGUGCUAGUUGAAUAAGCUGGCACCUUGACGGUACCUAACCAGAAAGCCACGGCUAACUACGUGCCAGCAGCCGCGGUAAUACGUAGGUGGCAAGCGUUGUCCGGAAUUAUUGGGCGUAAAGCGCGCGCAGGCGGUUUCUUAAGUCUGAUGUGAAAGCCCCCGGCUCAACCGGGGAGGGUCAUUGGAAACUGGGAAACUUGAGUGCAGAAGAGGAAAGUGGAAUUCCAAGUGUAGCGGUGAAAUGCGUAGAGAUUUGGAGGAACACCAGUGGUGAAGGCGACUUUCUGGUCUGUAACUGACGCUGAGGCGCGAAAGCGUGGGGAGCAAACAGGAUUAGAUACCCUGGUAGUCCACGCUGUAAACGAUGAGUGCUAAGUGUUAGAGGGUUUCCGCCCUUUAGUGCUGAAGUUAACGCAUUAAGCACUCCGCCUGGGGAGUACGGUCGCAAGACUGAAACUCAAAGGAAUUGACGG